rnacentral:rRNA from 1 species
UGAGUACAAGAUGCUACGGCAUUGAAGCAGUCUAUGUCAUACUUCCAAGAAAAGCUUGCAAUGUCAUAAACAAAUAAUGCCUGUACCAUAACCGACACAGGUGGGUAGGUAGAGUAUACUAAGGGGCGCGAGAUAACUCUCUCUAAGGAACUCGGCAAAAUGACUCCGUAACUUCGGGAGAAGGAGUACCUUAUUUUAUAAGGUUGCAAUAACAAGGUCCAAGCAACUGUUUACCAAAAACACAGGUCUCCGCUAAGUCGUAAGACGAUGUAUGGGGGCUGACGCCUGCCCAGUGCCAGAAGGUUAAAGAAGUUGGUUAGCAUUAGCGAAGCUGAUAACUGAAGCCCUGGUGAACGGCGGCCGUAACAAUAACGGUCCUAAGGUAGCGAAAUUCCUUGUUGGGUAAGUUCCGACCCGCACGAAAGGCGUAAUGAUUUGGAUACUGUCUCGGAGAGGGGCUCGGUGAAAUAGACUUGUCUGUGAAGAUGCGGACUACCUGCACCUGGACAGAAAGACCCUAUGAAGCUUUACUGUAACUUGAGAUUGAAAUUGGACUUUAUUUGCGCAGUAUAGGUGGGAGACCUCGAAAGUAUUCUUGCGGGAAUAUUGGAGUCAUCAGUGAGAUACCACUCUUAUAAUGUUAGAUUUCUAACUUUGUAUCAUUAUCUGGUCAAAGAACAGUUUCAGGCGGGCAGUUUGACUGGGGCGGUCGCCUCCCAAAUGGUAACGGAGGCGCACAAAGGUUUCCUCUGAACGUGUAGAAAUCGUAUCUAGAGUGUAAAGGCAUAAGGAAGCUUGACUGUGAGACCUACAAGUCGAGCAGGGACGAAAGUCGGUCUUAGUGAUCUGACGGUGCUGAGUGGAAAGGCCGUCACUCAACGGAUAAAAGUUACUCUAAGGAUAACAGGCUGAUCUCCCCCAAGAGUUCACAUCGACGGGGAGGUUUGGCACCUCGAUGUCGGCUCAUCGCAUCCUGGGGCGGUAGUACGUCCCAAGGGUUGGGCUGUUCGCCCAUGAAAGCGGUACGCGAGCUGGGUUCAGAACGUCGUGAGACAGUUCGGUCCAUAUCCGGUGUAGGCGUUAGAAUAUUGAGAGGAGCCUUCUUUAGUACGAGAGGACCGAGAAGGACAUACCUCUGGUGUACCAGUUAUCGUGCCAACGGUAAACGCUGGGUAGCUAUGUAUGGAGAGGAUAACCGCUGAAAGCAUCUAAGUGGGAAGCCCACCUCAAGAUAAG